GAGGAAUAAGCAUCGGCUAACUCCGUGCCAGCAGCCGCGGUAAUACGGGGGAUGCAAGCGUUAUCCGGAAUCAUUGGGCGUAAAGCGCCUGUAGGUUGUUUAAUAAGUCUGUUGUUAAAGACUAGGGCUCAACCCUAGAAAAGCAAUGGAAACUACUAGACUAGAGUAUGGCAGGGGUAGAGGGAAUUUCUAGUGUAGCGGUGAAAUGCGUAGAUAUUAGAAAGAACACCGGUGGCGAAAGCGCUCUACUGGACCAUUACUGACACUCAGAGGCGAAAGCUAGGGUAGCAAAAGGGAUUAGAUACCCCUGUAGUCCUAGCCGUAAACGAUGGAUACUACAUGUUGUGCAUUAUGUACAGUAUGGUAGCUAACGCGUUAAGUAUCCCGCCUGGGGAGUACGCUCGCAAGGGUGAAACUCAAAGGAAUUGACGGGGGCCCGCACAAGCGGUGGAGCAUGUGGUUUAAUUCGAUGCAACGCGAAGAACCUUACCAGGACUUGACAUACUACAAAUUCUUUUGAGAAAAAGAAGUGCCUUCGGGAAUGUAGAUACAGGUGGUGCAUGGCUGUCGUCAGCUCGUGUCGUGAGAUGUUGGGUUAAGUCCCGCAACGAGCGCAACCCUUAUUUUUAGUUACCAAUUCGUUGGGUUCUCUAGAAAGACUGCCGGUGACAAACCGGAGGAAGGUGAGGAUGACGUCAAGUCAGCAUGCCCCUUAUGUCCUGGGCUACACACGUGCUACAAUGGUUAAGACAAAGAGUCGCGAGCUCGUGAGAGUCAGCUAAUCUCAUAAACUUAGCCCAAGUUCAGAUUGUAGGCUGCAACUCGCCUACAUGAAG
rnacentral:rRNA from 1 species